rnacentral:rRNA from 1 species
GAUGAGGGAUUCCUAGUGCUAGCACAUUUGUGUUAGCUUUUCCUUAGCGUANAUAACUAGGGGAAUAAGGGCUGGGUAAGACGGGUGCCAGCCGCCGCGGUAAUA